CCUACGGGGGGCAGCAGUGGGGAAUAUUGGACAAUGGGGGAAACCCUGAUCCAGCAAUGCCGCGUGUGUGAAGAAGGCCUGCGGGUUGUAAAGCACUUUCGGUUGGGAAGAAAAGUUUGGCGCCAAUACCGCCGAACCUUGACGUUACUGACAGAAGAAGCACCGGCGAACUCUGUGCCAGCAGCCGCGGUAAUACAGAGGGUGCAAGCGGUGAGCGGAACCACCGGGCGUAGAGCGUGCGUAGGUGUGCGCAAUCCCCGGGCUUAACCUGGGAACUGCAUUCGAUCCUACAUGGCUAGAGUAUGGUAGAGGGAAGUGGAAUUUCCGGUGUAGCGGUGAAAUGCGUAGAUAUCGGAAGGAACACCAAUGGCGAAGGCAGCUUCCUGGACUAAUACUGACACUGAGGCACGAAAGCGUGGGUAGCAAACAGGAUUAGAUACCCUUGUAGUC
rnacentral:rRNA from 1 species